rnacentral:rRNA from 1 species
GCGGGUGAGUAACACGUGAGUAACCUGCCCCCCACUUCGGGAUAACCUCGGGAAAUCGUGGCUAAUACCGGAUACGAGCACUCAUCGCAUGGUGGGUGCUGGAAAGAUUUAUCGGUGGGGGAUGGACUCGCGGCCUAUCAGUUUGUUGGUGAGGUGAUGGCUCACCAAGACGAUGACGGGUAGCCGGCCUGAGAGGGCGACCGGCCACACUGGGACUGAGACACGGUCCAGACUCCUACGGGAGGCAGCA